CGCGUUUAGAGGAUCAGUGGCGGCGGGCCCGCGCGGUGCCCGCGACUAGCAGCGAGAUGUCCUGGCCCCUUCCAGGUUUGGGAGAAUGGAGAGAGCAAGGUGUAGCUGAUUAGCAAGUUAAUUAUUUCAGUACCCCAAGGGUUCAUGCGUGGUGGAGAUGGCCUUGGGAGAGCAACCUCCGGACCUCAGCAGUGUGAGGAUGACAACAGUACCCUGUGGUGCUGUCCCCACUCAGGGUUUCUCUCUGUAGCCCUGACUGUCCUGGAACUCACUCUGCAGACCAGGCUGUCCUCAAGCUCAGAGAUCUACCUGCCUCUGCCUCUGAAGUACUGGGAUUAAAGAUGCAGAGGCCUCCCAGAGAAGUGUGAAGGAAUGGGCCUUAACCAGGGUUGAAGAAAGAAAGUGAAGAAGGGGAGAGCCCAAGGAAAGGUGGGGACAGUAGGAACUUUUGUUUACACUGGUCUACUACUCAUGUAUCGUAUGCUAUAAUCUCCAAAUUCCACAUUUAUUGUAGCUGUCUGCAGUGUGUAUGCCCCGGCCGCAUGCUGCUUGGCUAAAAAAGUGUUAAAUAAAACUGUAAGAAACGCUA
ensembl:lincRNA Lhx1os LIM homeobox 1, opposite strand